UGUCGUCAGCUCGUGUCGUGAGAUGUUGGGUUAAGUCCCGCAACGAGCGCAACCCUAUCCUCAGUUGCCAUCAUUAAGUUGGGCACUCUGUGGAGACUGCCGGUGUCAAACCGGAGGAAGGUGGGGAUGACGUCAAGUCCUCAUGGCCCUUAUGACCAGGGCUACACACGUGCUACAAUGGUCGGUACAACGAGAAGCAAGCCAGCGAUGGCAAGCAAAUCUCUAAAAGCCGAUCCCAGUUCGGAUUGCAGGCUGCAACUCGCCUGCAUGAAGUCGGAGUUGCUAGUAAUCGCGGAUCAGAAUGCCGCGGUGAAUGCGUUCCCGGGUCUU
rnacentral:rRNA from 2 species